GGGGGGUUUGCUUUGUGGUUCCUUUCUCAUGGGCAGGUGAACUGAUGUCGGCUGGGUGUUUAUUUCGUGCUACUGAACUGUCUGAUUCCAUUCUGUGCAGGUGGGGCUCACCUGGAUGACAACACGUGGAGACUGGGAGAAGUACCAGAGUGGCAGGCCAAACAAACUCAUGAGGGCCGUCUUUGUUUCAUAUGUCUCAGAGCAGCGAGUGCUGAGGAUGCUACCACCUGAUUAAACAAAGAAAGCUCUCCUCGCAGCACACCCAUUCGCUGCUCCAUCAGAGAGGACACCCACACUUGAAAGCUCUCCCUCUCGUUCUGACUUUGGAGCUGCUCUCUGAGGGAACCGUAGAGACCCAGAAUAUCACUGUGAUGCUGAUCCUGCUUCUGGUGUCUCUGCU